GGGCCCGCACAAGCGGUGGAGCAUGUGGUUUAAUUCGAUGAUACGCGAGGAACCUUACCUGGGCUCGAACGCUAAUUGAUCGCGCUCCGAAAGGAGGCUUUCCUUCGGGACAAUUAGUGAGGUGCUGCAUGGUUGUCGUCAGCUCGUGCCGUGAGGUGUUGGUUAAGUCCCGCAACGAGCGCAACCCCUAUUGUUAGUUGCCAGCAUGUUAUGGUGGGGACUCUAACAAGACUGCCGGCGUAAGCCGCGAGGAAGGUGGGGAUGACGUCAAAUCAUCAUGGCCUUUAUGCCCAGGGCGACACACGUGCUACAAUGGUCGGUACAGAGGGAAGCUACCCCGUAAGGGGAUGCGGA
rnacentral:rRNA from 1 species